CAACAAAACAUAUAAAAUACUUUCAUCAAGUAUAGGAAUGAUCAACUUGUGUUCUCAACACAAACUAUGCACAAAGGUCAACAAAAAGUUCACAACUUAAACCCAACUCUACAUUAACUGUAAGCCAAAAAAAAAAUCUUAAAAAGUACAACUGCUAAAGAUGGCAUAGAUGUCAGAUCACAGCAAAUGUGUUAUUCUAAUUGAUGUGGUGGAGUUCUCUUCCUGACUAAUACCCGGUACCUCAUGUGUACAGGAACAACUGAGGCAUAAUGGUCACUGAAUGGAAAAACAAUGGAAAAAAAAACAAUCACAAAUCACAGUUAGUGUCAACUACCAAGUCACUAGUGUGUCAUGUUCAAGUCAUGGUUUGGUCAUCUGAAGAUAGAAAUAAAGCAAUAUGACUUCAUUUUACUAGCAACUCAGGACACACACAAUGUUCUUACACAAUUUUAAGCACAGAAAAAAAAUACACAUUCUCUCACUACACAUUAGUUUUACCUACUUGAAAAAAAACACCAUUUCAUUAAGCCCUAUUGUGAAUAAACUUGUAAAAUAAGUUGUACAGUUCUUCAAGUUCUUUUGAAUGAAAGAUUUUAUAUACCAUUCCAGGUACACUGUAAAGUCAAUUCAUUAGCCUAUACACAAAAUGUAAUAGUAUAAAAAAAUUAAACUGUAUGCUACUGAAAAUAUAAAUUUAAGUAGUAACUUCCAAAAGUACAUUAUCCAAGACUGAGGAUAGAAACUAAAAAAAAGACAUCAAAAUGUAUAUUUGGUGGGGGGAAAAGUAAAUAGAAUUUAAC